GCCCCGCAUCGCGGCCCCCUGGGGGCAGGACGACACCGCUGGGGGCCGAGGGCAGGGCACGCCUUCGGAAUCCGGCUUCGAAGCCGGCCGCCUGACCUGGGGCAAGUGCUUUCAACUCUCUGAACUUCGGUUCCUCAUCUGCCAGUUGGCAGACGCUCAGCAAAUCUUCCUAGACUCACGGGGCGAAUUGUACAGUUGGGUAAAUCGAGGCCCAGAGAUGGCAAAAGGACCGUCCAAGGUCGUACAGCCACCCGGAAUUACAAUUCUUUUCUGCCGGGUCACACGCUGUCAUCCACGUGUUACCUAAGAGAGCUUUCCAGCCUGUGCUAAGAAAACUGCCCCACAUCAUCUGCAGUAGGACGGGGGAGUUGGAGCCCUGGUCAGGCCACUCUGCUACUGACCACAGUUUUCUCAUCUCUAAAAAGGCGCAGUAACAAUAUAAUUACCGUAUGCAGUCCCCCAGGAUACAGGGUCAAAGGAGAGCACAACCAUCGCAGUUGGAAGCCCAUGGGGCAGGGCCCAGGACACAGUGAGCAUACAAUAGACAUUAGCUGCUGUGGUGUCUUGAUUUCAAGCCCAGUGCAGAUGCAUCUGACUUACGAAACUUCAGUGACACCUGCUCUGUGCCAGACACUGAAGAUGGAGCAGUGAACAGCACUGACCCAGCCUGUCCUCCUGUUGCCUGCAGGCCAGACGGAGUCUCACUCUGUCACCAGGCUGGAGUACAGUGGUGUGAUCUCGGCUCACUGCAACCUCCGCCUCCCAGGUUCAAGCGAUUCUCCUGCCUCAGCCUCUCAAGUAGCUGAGAUUACAGACGUGUGUCACCAUGCCCUGUUAAUUUUUGUUUGUUUGUUUUGUUUUUUGUUUUGUUUUGUUUCGUUUUUUGUUUUUUUUUUUUGAGACGGAGUCUUGCUCUGUCGCCCAGGCUGGAGUGCAGUGGCCCCGAUCUCGGCUCACCGCAAGCUCCGCCUCGCGGGUUCAUGCCAUUCUCCGGCCUCAGCCUCCCGAGUAGCUGGGACUACAGGCAUCCGCCACCACACCCAGCUAAUUUUUUGUAUUUUUUUUAGUAGAGACGGGGUUUCACUGUGUUAGCCAGGAUGGUCUCGAUCCCCUGACCUUGUGAUCCACCCAAGGCCUCGGCCUCCCAAAGUGCUGGGAUUACAGGCAUGAGCCACCGUGCCCGGUCAAUUUUUAUAUUUUUUGUAGAGACAGGGUUUCACCAUGUUGGCCAGGCUGGUGUCGAACUCCCGACCUCAGGUGAUUGUCGGCCUUGGCCUCCCAAAGUGCUGGGAUUACAGGCGUGAGCCACCGCGCCCAGCCGGUGGGCAGCCAGUUGUGUUCCGGGAGGAGGAGGACACCCUGGAAAGACAGUGGGGCCAGACACUGAACUGCCUUUGGAAGCAAGUAGGAGCAACAGCGAAGGUUUGCUGGCUCAGAUGCCGUUCCAUUGUUUGCUGACUUUCAUUGAUUCUAUGAGAAGUCUGCAGUCUUUUGCAGCGUUGUUUUCCUAUGUAUAAUUGUCUCCUCCCACCCCACUCACCCCAGCUGCUUUCCACAUUCUCUCUCUUUGAUUUUCAGCAGUCUGCCCAUGAUGUGCCUAAAUAGGACUUUCUUUGCAUUCAUCUUGGCUGGGGCUCACUGAACUUUCUGAAUCUGUAGAUUAAUUUUCUUUUUUCAAUAAACCUUGGAAUAUUUUCAGCA
rnacentral:lncRNA from 1 species